rnacentral:tRNA from 1 species
AUUCAUGUAGUUUAAAAUUAAACAUUUUAUUUUCGUUAAAAAAUUGACUGAGUUUAGUCUAUGAAUU